ACAAGAGAAGAGCUCCUGUGCAGAAAUCUGACAAUGCUGAUUCAUGCCAUAGAUCUACAAGGCAAAUCAGUGACAAGUCAAACAGCUGCCUUGCAUGCCAUAAUCAGUUGUCAUCCCAAGACAGUACAAAUCUCUUCUGGGAGAGAACCCAAUUCAGUUUAUGUUCCUUCAGUGAGAAGCUGGCCAAAGUCCUGGCUGUGACCCUGGAGCCUGGCCAGCCGGGCAGCGACGGCGUCUGUCGGCACUGCAUGGCGACGCUGAAC